UCCCAGUCACAUCUAACAGCCUGGCCAUUUAAUGCUUAACUCGUCCUUUCACGUCCCAACAGCCACGCUUAAACAGAUAGCCAUUCCCAAAGAUAUCAAAUCUUGCUACCCUUAAUUGCUCUCUAGUCCUUGCCCAUUCGUCUUCAAUCCGGGGGCUCUCUCCAUCUUCCCUCUGGGUCUGCUGCUCUAUGGAUCGCCGUUUCCCUUCCUAGGUAUGAGUCCUCCAUUCUCUCUAGCGCUUCUUUUGCUAGAUUAUGGGCUUGAAUGUUCUUCGUUUUGUGGAUAAACUUGAAAGUGACGUCUUGAACCCUGGAUUUUCUGGUCUGUAUAUCAUAUAUAAUCGUUCCAAAAACACUUGUCCAUUUUUGUCGUUUGGCAAUUUUGAAUGACUGUUUUCGAAUCCCCCUCUAUUGUUACUGUUGAUAGCCCCAUUUCUAUUGCUAACUUAAUGGUGUCUAAUCCUGCGAGAGCUUCUACUGCGAACGGGGUGGGGAUAUCCUCAUGUAUAACUGUCUCGAGGCUUUUAAAGCUCCCAUCUGGUCUCAAACAACUUUACCUGAGGCAGAUCUAGCAUUCCUUCUAUCAAAAGCGGCAUCAAACUGAACUGUGAUGCCUCCCGUCGCUCCAUUAUAACUAUUGACCCUUUUGGUAGAAAAGGUAAGUAUUUUCAUUCGGAUCCCAUCCAAUUCUACUAUGUAGCUGCUGACUUUCUUUGCUAAAUCCCUAACUAGUAUGAUAUUCUUUUCAUGUACGAGUUGAUUUCGAGAACUCCAUAUGCACCAUAACGCACAACAAAAGAACCGACACUGCUCCAUUGUACUCCUUUCAAAAACCCAGGUUAGCCAUUUCCAAAAACUUUGAUUCCCAUGAACUAUAGUCCAAGAGAGAUUGAUAAGAUUCCAUAUUUCACUGGUUGCAGGACAAAAUCUAAAGAUAUGGUUACUGUCAUCCUCUUCAAGUCUGCACCGAGGACCCGAGCGUUCUCUGUUAUUGACUUGGAUCUUAGGUUUACUAAGGAAGGAAUGUAGCUCUAGGAAAUUCGCCAAACUAGUAUCUUAAUUUUACCUUGUAGCUGUAAAUCCCAUAAUUUUUUGUAGAAGUUUCUUGUUUCGGGCUGUAAUAAAUAAAUAUUAGGAUUCAAGCUAGAAUAAUGUAAUAGUUUAUCGGCGCUUCUUACUGAGAACUCCUCUGAAGGUUCCUCUUUCCACACCUGAAAAUCAGCAUGUUCUGUCUCGGCUAAAGGAAUCUUUAGAAUUUUUUACGCUAUGUUUGAUUGAAAGGUAUUGUUGAUCAGAUCUUGUUUCCAAGUCCUACUAGUAAUAUUGAUUAAAUUCGAGACUAAUAAUACUUCACUGUUUGUCUCUCUACCUUGCCUACCAAUGGCUUCACAUUCAGGAAUCCAACAAUCAGUCCAGACAUCAAUCUCAGUCCCUCGUUCGACUCUCUAACACAACUCAUCCUGAAUGAGCCCUCGCGCUGCCCAGAUGCUCUUCCAGGUAUAUGAAGGUAACCAACCCAACUGUGCGUUUAAAAAGUUUGAUUGCGGAUAAUAUUUGGCUUUAAAAACUAUGGCUAAUAAUGAACUCGGAUUAUUAAUAAGGCGCCAGCCCUGUUUAGCUAAUAACGCAACAUUAAAUUGGAAAAAAUUUCGAAAACCCAUACCUCUAACUUCUUUUAAAGAACACAUAUUUCUCCAAGAACACCAAUGAAUUCCUUUCUUCCCACGACCCUUUUGCCACUAAAAUUUGGCUACAAUGCCUUCCAUUUCCUCAUAUUGUGUCUUUGGUAAUAGAAAACAGGCCAUUGAGUAAGUCGGUAUCACUUGUAAAACUGCUUUAAUAAAUAUUUCCUUACCACCUUGAGACAGUAACCUCAUACUCCAAUUAUCAAUCCGCUGUUGUAAUGUCCUUUAACCCUAUAUUGUCAUCGGAAUAGGGUUACGAGACAUUACUAGUUGGUACAGUUUAAUUUCGGUCAUUAAUUAAAAUAAAUAUUUACACACAUCUUAGUUUUAAGAUGUCCCUUUAAUGGGCCCUCGUGGUCUAAUAUGAACAGUAAAUUUAAUUCGGGAUUAAUUUAGAAUUCUUACGAAUUUUUAGUAAAUUUUAAAAUUCAUAUCACUUGCCAACCAUAAUUUAUUUAUUUCAUCAAUACUUUUACAACUUAAAUGACUCUCAUUAAACAUCUUGGGUACAUGCCAUUAUCAAUACUCAACAUAUUUUAUCUUAAUGAAUUUGAGAUUGUCUUGAGAUGCUGAUUCAACGUAUUAUCUUUACUCAAUUUGUGUACGGCAAUAAAUCGUACGUUGAGUAUGGUAUACUCAGUGGUAUUUUUAUAAUCUGAACAAUUAAUAAUAUAACAAAUACUUAAGAUAAUAAUAAUAAUUACAAUUAUUCAAUUAUUUAUUCAUAGAUAAAUUUUAACUACUUAUCAUAUAAAUUUUAUGCAAAUCAUAUAAUAAACAUAAUAACAUAAUUGUUUAAUUCUUAACUAAAUUCAUUAUUAUUUACUUUAUUCUUUCACUUACUACUCGAUAUAGCUUUCUUUAAUUUACUCACAAUUUAAAAUCAUUCAAUUAUAUUCAACUAUACACUUAUUAAUCAUAUUCCAUUUUAAUUCAUUUCAAUAACAGUUAAUUUCAUUUAUAUCAUAUUAACUUACUAUUCCUGAUAGCUUUCAGUAUAUACAUAUGAUUCAUAUAUCUCAAAUCACAUUUCAAUUCAUCAAGUGGCAUCAUAUAUCAUCAAUUUAAACUCCAAUCAUUUCAUGAACCAUUGGUUCAUAUUUUCAAUUUCAUAUAUAAAUUUUCAAUUCUCAAUUCAAUUUUUAGUUUCAUUUCUAUAGCUUGAUCAAUCAAAUUUAUUCGAUUUAUCUUUUACUUAUUUACCCCUAUUAACAAACCUGGGCUUUGACGGAUACACGGAUUUCAAUUCAAACACACCAGUACGGCACAUUAUGCCUAAAACGGUACAUAGUACCUGAUCAGUAUACGACACAUAAAGUGCUUAAAACGACAUACGAGGUGCCUGAUACGAUAUACGAGGUGCCUGAAAUACGACACAAAGUGCCUGAUCGAUAAAGCCGGCAAAUCCCUUACACUUCUAGAUCUUAUGGCAUGCCAAUUAUAUCCGACUCAUCCCAAUUAGUUAAUAGGGUAUUUCAUUUACUUUCUCGAUUUAAAAAUUCUUUCAUCAAUAUAAUAAUCACAUAUUUUCACUCAUUUUCACAAUUCAUACAAUUUCAUUCAAUUCAACAAUAUAUUUCAAUUAUUCACAUUAAUUCAUAAUUCUAUACAAUUCAAUUCACUUUUCAAUAUCAAAUAUUCAAAUAUCACAAUCUCAUGUAUUCAUAUCAAUUUCCUCAUAUUUCUAAUCAAUAUAUUUUUCAAUAUAAUAUUCAUUCAAUAUUCAAAUUUCUUCAUAAAUCAUAUAUAUAUUAUAUAAUUCAAUCAAUAUAAAUUUAAUCAAAAUAAUUUCAAUCAAUAUAAAUUCAAUAAAUUCAUCGCAUACCAAAAUCAAUCCAUUCCAAUUGUAAAACAUUAUAAUUCUAACACUAACAAUUGUCAUAUGUAUAUAAAUAUAACAAAUAAUAACUAAGUUCAGAUUAUAGAAAUACAAACCAUAAUUUUUGAGCUAAUUCCAGUUGACUUUGUCUUGUCCUUUCUUAGCCGAGAUUUCUAGUACCACAUUGACUACGAAAUUAAUACAAUUCAUAAUCAUUAAUACAUUACUAAUUUAUAUCUUGAGUUACAGAAUUUCUAAAUUAAGAUUCGCUAAUUUUUCCUGAAACUAGACUCACGAAUCUUCUUACAAUAAAAUUUUCAUAAUUUUUGGUUUAGCCAUUAAGUACAGUUUAUUUUUUAAAUUCACCCCUAUUUUGUUGUCUGACAGUUUCGUCCCUUCUUCACUAAAAAUUAAUUAUCUCACAGUUCAGAACUCGGAUAAUAUUCUCGUUGAUUUCUCCUGAAAAUAUACUCAUUACAGAUUCUAAACAUAUAACUUUAAGCCUCUAAUUAUUUUUCUUCAAUUUUUGGUGAUUUUUCAAAAUCAUAACAGGGGAACCCGAAUUAAUUCUGACCUUUUCUCACAAAUCAUAUAUCUCAGAAUUACAAUUCAUGUUUAUAUCGUUUUCUUUAUAUAAGAAACUAGACUGAAUAAGUUAGUUUCAAUAUUUAUCAUUCUCUAAUCAUUUCGACAAUUUUUUGGGUGUUUUUCAAACGGGACACUGCUGGUGUCCAAAAUAUUUUUUAGAUACAAAAUGUUGAUUUACUUUAAUUUCAAUUUAAUCUAACUAAAUCACUUUCUUCUAUCUAUUCAUACUUUAUUUCUACUCAAUUUUUACCAAAACUUAGACAUAAUUAUCUAUUUUUUCAUCAUAAAACCUAAUUUUGAAGUUUCGUUCAAUUUAGUCCUUAAAGCAUAAAACUUAUGAAUCACUUUACAAUUCAAUCCUUGGGACAUGUUUUAACUUGAAUUUCGAUCAAUUUAGCCCUUAUUAUCAGUUAUUUAACAUGGACAAUAUCUAAAAAUCUAAUAACUAUCAAAAUAUCAACUUAAUUUCAUCAAAACUUUGUUCUAAAACUUCUAAAACAUCAAAAUUAAGUAAAAAGGACUUGAUUGACUUACCUAUUAAAUCUUAAAGCUUCAAACCUUCAAUUUUCCCUUUUCUUCCCUUCUUUCUUUCUUUUUCUCCCCUGCACUCUAUUUUCAUUCUGUUUCUAUUUCCUUUCAUUUGCUUCUUUAGUUUAUAUAUAAUAUAAUAUAAUAUAAUAUAAUUAAAUCAUAAAGUAUCUUUAUUAUAUAAUAAUAUAAUAAUAUAAUAAUAUACUAAACAUAAAAAAAAUCUUAGAUUUUUUUCACGAUAAACCGCCUCAAUUUAUACUUUUUGUAUAAUUGCCCUUUUAGUCCUUUUUAUUUUCUUUUAAUCUAUAAUUCAACUUUCACACUAUUCAGUUUGGUCCUUUUACUUAAUUACUCUUAAUUAAAUAAAAUUCACUUAAUUAAACUUUAAUCAACCACUCAUUUUACUUCGUAAAUAUUUUUAAUAAAUAUUUACGAAUCUAUUUUUCAAAAACGGAGACCCGAAAAUAUACUUUUUCGGUAACGGUAAAAUUUGGGUCAUUAUAGCUGUUUUAUUCUGUCCUUCAAUGCUUGAAAAGAUUCUUUUUUCCUUCUCCCAACUAAACUUGGCAGCCCUAAAUACCUUUUUAAUUCAUUGGAGCUGCGGAUUCCUAAUUGGGUGAUCACCAUUUGCCUAAUUUCCUCAGAUAUGUUACUACUAGAAAAGACUGUCGAUUUUUCAAAAUUUAUGCACUGUCCUGAACUAUUUUUAUACUCUCGCAAAAUCUGCUUGAUUGCGCUUACUCCCCUUCUUGUUGCUUUUUCGAACAGUAUGCAAUCGUCAGCAAAUAAUAAAUGAGACACCCUAGGGCCAUUUCUACUAGCUUUGACACCUUUUAUAACUCUUUCGCCAGUAGCCAUUUGUAUUAGACCUGAUAGACCCUCUCCACAUAUCAAGAAUAAAAAAGGGCUUAAUGGAUCUCCUUGCCUAAGUCCUCUUGUUGGAUAGAAAAUAUCUCCCUUAUUACCAUUAACCACUGUUGAAUACGAAACACUGGAGAUACAUGUCAUAAUAGAUUCAAUCCAUUUUUGAGCAAAACCUAUUCUACUCAUGAUUUCUUGAAUAAAAUUCCAUUCUGCUCGGUCAUAGGCCUUACUUAUAUCUAACUUGACUGUCAUAAAUCCCUUCUUCCCCCUCUCUUUUGUUUCAUCGAAUGUAAAAUUUCAUAUGCCACUAGUGCAUUAUCUGUUAUGAUUCUCCCUGGCACAAAUGCGCUUUGUGCUUCAUCAAUACAUUUAUCAAUAACCCCUCUAAAUCUAUUUGUAAUCACCUUUGCCACAAUUUUGUAAAUAACAUUACAUAGACUAAUUGGCCGAAAAUGAGUCAGAUUAGAAAGAUUAAUAAUCUUUGGGAUCAGCAUAACCUGAGUUGCAUUAAUUGAACUAACCUCCAUCUCUCCAUUCAAAAAAUUUAGGCAAAAGGAAUAAACGUCACUCCCAACGAUAUCCCAGCAUCUUUGAUAAAAAAGAGCUAGAAAUCCAUCUUCCCCUGGUGCCUUUGUGGACCCCAUCUCAAACAAAGCUCCCCGAAUUUCCUAUCCCUCAUAAGGUGCUAAGAGCUUACUAUUAUCUUUAUUAAAGAUACAACGAUUAAUACUCGAAAAUACAUGUUCAUUAAAAGUAAUCCUCCCUACUUUAAACAAAUUCUCGAAAUACACACGUGCAAUGUCCUCCAUUUCCCGAACAUCUUCCGUAAUCUCUCCAUUGUCUUUCUAUAGCUUUUUAAUCUGAUUCUUCCUCCUCCUUUGUGUUGCAUGACUAUGAGAAAAAGUUGUGUUCCUAUCGCCAAGUUGUAGCCAGUUUAACAGAGCCCUCUGUUCCCAGUAAUAUUCUUCAUUUUCAAUUUUAAAGUUUAGCUGAAUUUUUGUGUCAAUCAUGUCAGCUAAAUUUCCCUCAUCCCUUUCAGCCUCUACUAAUUCUGAUAAUUUCUUUGUUAACAUCUCCUUCUUCCAAUUCCUAUUCGUUCGAAUCUUCCCCGCUCACCUUUUCAGUCAUGUUCUCAAAAACUCAAGCUUUUGCAAAAGAUCUCCUACUACCCUUCCCCAAAGGUUUUUAACUUCUUCAUUAAAAGAGUCUUCUAGAAUCCACCAUGCUUCAAAUUUGAAAAUAACUUCUAUUCUCUUAACCUCUUCUUUACGAGUCUCAAUCAAGAGGGGUCAAUGAUCAGAGAAAAAAUUAACCAGAUGUUGAACUACCACUUCAGGAAACAAAGCCAUCCAAUUUGCAUUAGCAACCCACCAUCAAGUCGUUCUCAUAUAUUUGUCUCAGGAAGAUUCCCCCUCUCCCAAGUAAACCACCUUCUCGAAAAACCCAUAUCAUUUAGUUGAUAGUCCUCUAGCGUUUUUUGGAACAAUUCCGUCAUUCUUUCUUCUUAGGUACGCCUCUCUAUUUUUCGAAACCAUACAUAAUUUCAUUAAAGUCCCCACAAACAAACCAAGGGUAUCUUCAUUGCGAGUAAGAGUUUUCAGUACAGCCCAAGAGUCUUCUCUAUCUCAAGCAUAAAGGGUACCAUAGAAGCCCGUAAAAUGCCACUUCCCACUAAUUUCUACAUCUUCCACGAUCACAUCAAUGUGCCUCUUGGAAAAAACUUUUAAGAGUUAUCUCAAUAUCGUUUCUCCAUACCAUACACAAGCCUCCUCUUAUUCCAUCCGAAUCAACUUCAAUUCCAUUUGCAAAGCCACAACUUCUUUGAACUCUCUCUAUUUGUAAACUACAAAGUUUAGUCUCCAUAAAGAAGACUAAUUGGAGAUUAAAAGUCUUCAGCGAAUGUCGAAGUCUCCUGAUUGUUCGAGGUCUCCCUAAACCCCAAACAUUCUAACUUAAAAUUUUCAUUGCGUUCGGUCGGCUUGUCUUUUGGCAGUCGCUGAUAAUAUAAUAUUGCGUUCCUCCACUUUCCUAUUUCUGGACAGCACCUUACUGUUAUCACCAUUUUUUGAUAUAGCCCGGACGGUAAAAAGGAUCUAGCCCGGACGGGUGAUCCUAUCCUGAUAUAGCCCUCCCGAAGAAUAUGUGGAAAAUGGAUUUAGCCCGAACGGGUAAUCCGAAUUAGAGUCUGAAUUUAGCCUGGACUGGUAAUUCAGAUCCAAGCUCAUUAGAGUAAUUGUCGUUGCAGGGGAUUUAGCCUGGACUGGUAAUCCCGACAAUACUCUAUGAGUUUAUAUUGCAGGGGAUUUAGCCUGGACUGGUAAUCUCGCUGCAAGGUUGAGGUUCGCGGGAGUGUGCUCUCUGAAAUGGAAAUGUACGCACAUGAAUAUGAUUUGACGGACCCGGAAUUGUACACUAAAAGUGUACCUCUGAAAAAUCCAUCGAAAUUCUGAUAAAUUCAACGGGAUAAAUAUGGAAAAAAUAGCAAGGAAAUGGAAAUCAUGGUAUUGACGAGCUCAUCAAUCAUGGUAUAUAUAUUAUUGAUACAUGGAAAUUAUUGUACUAACUUAAAUGUUGAGUUUGUGCAUGUUAGGGUAAUAAUGCAUUGAAUGGAUAUAUGAAUGUUUAUUCUAUUGUAUUGAAAAUAUUAGGUAAGUAUAAUUAUUGUUACAAUAGCUUACUAAACACAAAGUGCUUACCCUGUUUCCUUUUUCCCUGUUUUGUAGUGUUAAGAGCUCGGAGGUCGGAUUUGGUCGGAGACACAUCACACUGUCAACCUCAGGAUUUCGGUAUAUAAAGAAACUUUAUUUUGAAAAUCAAUGGCAUGUAUAAGCUAACAAAGUAAAUGUUAACGUGAAAUGAAUGUAAAGUUAGCCAUUAGUAUGGUUAACAAACUUGGUUUUAGAUAUGUGAUGACGUUAUCUUAUAAAUAUGCAUGAAUUUAUCUUGAAAAUAUGUUGAAUUGAUUUGGUUGAUGUGGAUUGGUCUCGAUUUAAUAUUGCAGGGAAGGUUAGAUAUUUAUAAAGGGGCUAUAUUGAAUAUAAAAAAAAAUUAAUUCGUAAACUCCGGUAAUGCCUCGUACCCUAUUCCGGCAAUGAAUAUGGGUAGGGGUAUUACACACAGAGUACCUCAUCGGAACAAAUUCGGAACAGUAACAAGAACAAUAUUCAACACACAAAGUGCUGAAUCGAUAACGGUAAUAGUAACAGUAUUCGACACACAAAGUGCCGAAUCGGUAACAGUAACGGUAACAGUAACAGUAGUCGGCACAUAAGUGCCUGAUUAGUAAGCCGG
rnacentral:lncRNA from 1 species